rnacentral:rRNA from 1 species
GACGAACGCUGGCGGCGUGCUUAACACAUGCAAGUCGAACGGAAAGACCCUGAGUUUGUGCUGUUCUCGAGUGCGGAAGGCGUGAGUGACACGUGUGUAACCUGCCCUCGAUUUUGGGGGAACUUAACGAAACUGGGGUUAAUAUCGGAUAGGAGCUCCUGCUGCAUGGUAGGGGUGGGAAAGUUUCGGCUGUUGGGGAUGGACUAGCGGGUUAUCAGAUUGUUGGUAGGGUAGUGGCAUACCAAGGCUUUGACGGGUAGCCGGCCUGGGCGGGGGAACGGCCACAUUGCGAAUGAGAGACGGCCCAGAGUCAUAUGGGGGACAGGAGGGGGGAAUAUUGCACAAUGGGCGCGAGCGUGAUGAAGCGUCGCCGCGUGUGGAAUGACGUUCUUAGGGUAGAAAAACGCUUUAGCCUGUUACGACGCUUGAGUGACGGUACUGAAUAAAGAAGCACCGGCUAACUACGUG